rnacentral:lncRNA from 1 species
AGCCACACCUUCUCUACACACAACCACACCUACUCUACACACAGCCACACCUACUCUACUUCAGCCACACCUACUCUACACACAGCCACACCUACUCUACACACAGCCACACCUACUCUACACACAGCCACAGCUACUCUACACACAGCCACACCUACUCUACACACAGCCACAGCUACUCUACACACAGCCACAGCUACUCUACACACCGCCGCAUCUACUCUACAACAGCCACAUCUACUCUACACACAACCACAUCUACUCUACACACAACCACACCUACUCUACUUAAGCCACACCUACUCUACUUAAGCCACAUCUACUCUACACACAGCCACAGCUACUCUACACACAGCCACACCUACUCUACACACAACCACACCUACUCUACACACAGCCACACCUACUCUACUUAAGCCACAUCUACUCUACACAGAGCCACACCUACUCUACACAGAGCCACACCUACUCUACACACAGCCACAUCUACUCUACACACAGCCACAUCUACUCUACACACAGCCACAUCUACACUACACACCACCGCAUCUACUGGUAAAUAUGUAAGGUCUGCUAUCAUGGGUUUUAAUGGUAAAUAUGUAAGGUCUGCUAUCAUUGGUAUUAAUGGUAAAUAUGUAAGGUCUGCUAUCAUGGGUUUUAAUGGUAAAUAUGUAAGGUCUUCUAUACACACCCUUGUUCAUGGGUUUUAAUGGUAAAUAUAUAAGGUCUUCUACACACACCCUUGUUCAUGCGUUUUAAUGGUAAAUAUGUAAGGUCUGCUAUCAUGGGUUUUAAUGGUAAAUAUGUAAGGUCUUCUACACACACCCUUGUUCAUGGGUUUUAAUGGUAAAUCGGUAAGGUCUUCUAUACACACCCUUGUUCAUGGGUUUUAAUGGUAAAUCUGUAAGGUCUGCUAUCAUGGGUUUUAAUGGUAAAUCUGUAAGGUCUUCUAUACACACCCUUGUUCAUGCGUUUUAAUGGUAAAUCUGUAAGGUCUUCUAUACACACCCUUGUUCAUGCGUUUUAAUGGUAAAUCUGUAAGGUCUUCUAUACACACCCUUGUUCAUGCGUUUUAAUGGUAAAUCUGUAAGGUCUUCUACACACACCCUUGUUCAUGGGUUUUAAUGGUAAAUCUGUAAGGUCUUCUAUCAUGGGUUUUAAUGGUAAAUAUGUAAGGUCUGCUAUCAUGGGUUUUAAUGGUAAAUCUGUAAGGUCUUCUAUACACACCCUUGUUCAUGGGUUUUAAUGGUAAAUCUGUAAGGUCUGCUAUCAUGGGUUUUAAUGGUAAAUCUGUAAGGUCUGCUAUCAUGGGUUUUAAUGGUAAAUCUGUAAGGUCUGCUAUCAUGGGUUUUAAUGGUAAAUCUGUAAGGUCUGCAUGGGAAGGCAUGAAGACAAGAAGUAUUCUUUAGUGUACUGAAAGUUAGAUGUGGUAGAUUUUAUUGUUAAACAGGGUAGUACAUAUUUCUUUCAUAUUCAGUUUUAUUUGAAGUGGUUAGAAUUGCAUGUUCAGAAAAUGUUUAUCAUUUUGAGGUCUAAGAACAUAUCAUUAAAUAUGUUUGAUUUAUCAAGUGGGGCUAUUUUGACUGUCUUUGUUGUUGUCAUUGUCAUUUGUGUUUAUAUUUAUUAAGUUGUUAAUAAAAUCAUUGCAUCCCAAUCAGAAUAAAAUUGUUAAUUGUCUUU